rnacentral:rRNA from 1 species
AGUGAACGCUGGCGGUAGGCCUAACACAUGCAAGUCGAACGGCAGCACAGAGGAGCUUGCUCCUUGGGUGGCGAGUGGCGGACGGGUGAGGAAUACAUCGGAAUCUACUCUGUCGUGGGGGAUAACGUAGGGAAACUUACGCUAAUACCGCAUACGACCUACGGGUGAAAGCAGGGGAUCUUCGGACCUUGCGCGAUUGAAUGAGCCGAUGUCGGAUUAGCUAGUUGGCGGGGUAAAGGCCCACCAAGGCGACGAUCCGUAGCUGGUCUGAGAGGGUGAACAGCCACACUGGAACUGAGACACGGUCCAGACUCCUCCGGGAGGCAGCAGUGGGGAAUAUUGGACAAUGGGCGCAAGCCUGAUCCAGCCAUACCGCGUGGGUGAAGAAGGCCUUCGGGUUGUAAAGCCCUUUUGUUGGGAAAGAAAUCCAUCUGGUUAAUACCCGGGUGGGAUGACGGUACCCAAAGAAUAAGCACCGGCUAACUUCGUGCCAGCAGCCGCCGCCG